UUAGUGUCAUCAGUUCCAAUCUCAUUGGUUCAGAAGCGUUUUCUCCUACAAAAAAUAUGAGGAUUCAUGCUCUAACAACUUGAAAGCUGUCUCCUGAGGUGACAUCAGCAAGCUGGAAAAGCAAGAACCUCUGAAAAUUUUCUCCUCCAUAAAAGCAAUGAGAAAACUGGGGGGAAAAAUGAUCAAAUCAACUUUUGCAUAACUUUGGAAAUUAACUAAAGGAUUUCAGCACUUCACAAAGAGUUCAUUCAAGAAAAAGAUUGGAAUCACGAGCUAUUCUCCACUCUUCCUCAGGGAAAUCUGCACUCCAACAGGCUGACUUGUGUGGACUACAUCAUCUGAAUUCUCUCACCCUCUCACUUCCCGUUGGGUUCACCCAAUGGGAGGGACUAGGUAGAUAUCAGAGAAAGGAGGGUGGGCGGAGGGCGAGGGAGAUAAAAAGACUGCAAGAGAGAAAGAAAGAGAGAAUGUGUUUUGAUUGUGAAUACCUUCCUCUGCCUACAGUCCUAACUAUUAGGUGGUCCAUUUCUCACCACUCAGCUCUCAUCAGAUUCAGUACCGCUGCCGUGCUUUGACCCCUUCAGGCUCUGGAGUGGUAAUGACUUUCCACAGUUGCUGCCCUGAGAUGCCUCACCAUUCCUCAUUGGUCCUUAAUGCUGCCACACCUCUGUACGUGUUCCCUUCAACAAAAUCUCUCCACUCAUCUCUGUGAGAGAGCCUUCUGUUUUCUGCCUGGACCUUGACUGAUAAAAGUUCCAACUUUGCUUCCAUGGUAUUCAUAAAAGGAAAAAAUAUAGCUUGUAAACUCUACUGUGAUCAUCGUUACAAAGCUAUUAAUGAAGAGUUACUACUCUUUGAUCAUGUCAGUUCAAUUUAAAUUUCCUCUGAGUGGUUUUUCACAAGCCAGACCAAGCAAUGCUACGAUGAUAAAAAUAAAGAUAAGACAGAGUACCUGUCCCUCAAGGAGUUUAUUCAGCAGACGGUUUAUUAACACUUGAAAAAGUUCAACAAGGUUAUGCAUGACAGAAUGCAAAAAAGAGCCACUAAUAGACAGUAUAUAUAACUGAAAACAGGGAAGAUAUGAUUUGAGCUUGCAGGAAAGGCUCUGUUGAAGAGGUAGGACUUUAACUGGACCUUGGAGGAUAUAAAUAUUCUCCUGUAUGACUCCACCACAAAAUGUCUCCUGUCUGUUUCAUCACACAAAUAGUAUUUUUUUCCCACUUGGAUUUCUCCUCGAUAUUUUAGAGUCAUUUAUGUGCCACAUGAAGUAAUGCCUACUCAUGACAACUAAAUUGGUUUUCUUGCCUGACCUACCCUGUGCCAGGAUAUGCUUUGAGUGGCAAAAUGGUUCUUUUGCUCACCUGUUAGAUGCAUACUUGCCAACACUGCGCCAGCUGCGCAGGGAGGGUUACGUGAGGAGAGAUUCAGGUAACUUCAAUCAUAGAGGAAGAAUUUGCCAAAAGUCACCCCCAAAGACUCUAUGGGGCAAACAGUGGCCCAGCUUUAGAGUUAAAAUUUCAUUUAUACUCUCUCCCUUUCAUUUAAGAUUUCUUCUCAGAAACAACACCUACUUAAAAGGCAAAAUCAGGUUUAGAUUCAUGAAGACUAUCUUUAUGGAACUCAAACUAAUGACAAAUUUCCAUAACCUAGGAUGACAUGAUCACUAAAAAUAGUGGCCCUAUCAUUUUUACCUUGUGUCUGACCACGAAAAGAGAUGUAAAGUACAUUUGCAGCCAGAAUUCUCCAACCCAAAUAUGCUUGUUAAGUUUGUUUAUCCAGUCAUACUGUAUGCCACACAGCAGUGAACUAUUUAGAGGAGGUUUACUAGACACUUUUCUGUCUAGGAAUUUUUUCUUUCUUUUCGAUUUUCUGCUUCAUAUCACGCUGGGGAUGAUUUAAUGUGACUACAUUAAGUGUUUUCUGAACCGCUGCUAUUUCUAAAUAGUUCUGAUGUCUUUGGGGGCAUCCUUUCCUCAAAAGCCAGAUUUCCUUGAAAGGGAUUCUGGUUCAACUAAUUAAUUUAGCAUACUGAGCAUAUAAGCUAAUACAAACAAACCCAAUUAUUAUUUUGUCAAACAAUGGCCUAGGAACUCAGGCUGAAACAGGAAUAUGGCACACAGAUGGAGAUAUUUAUGGAAAGUACAUUCUGGUGGGGGAAGCCCUAAAAUUAAUAAAUAGCCAAAUAAUUAAAAGAGAAUAUACCAGAAAGUAAUGAUAGGCACAUAAAGAAUGACUGGGUGACAACUUUUUGGAAGGCCUUUUUCAGAUCUAUCUUCUAGAGAAUCUAGAAGAGCAUAGUUGAUACCAAGAGGUAGCAAAUCUCUAUGGUGUCCCCUUUCCCUCGUAGGGACUUUAGAAGGAAGUAAAAAGAAUGAAGAAUUAAACAAACAUCAAACAAAAAGGACACAGCAAAGAAAAGGAACAGGCUUGACUGGUAACAAUAAAAUACCAAGGAGCAAGACCAGCGGACAGGAACAACAGGACAAAGGAGUUGGGAGAAUAUGUGCCUACAGAAAGUGUGGGUGUCUUGAGCUGCCAGCUCUGUUUACAGAGUUUUUGGCCUGAGCUGGAAGUGAUCUUCGGUCAUGUAUUCCAACCCUCCUAUCUUACAGAUGGAGUGGCUGGCAUCUGAAGUCAUGAGA